UAUCCUCCAAUUUGCCCAAAAAGAGAAAUUUUGUGAAAACCAAUAAAGUCAAUGGUCAACCGACAUCCGUUAGCAGCACAAUAACGACCGGCACAAGAACCAGACGAAAUCAUCCCGAUCACUGCCGGAAUUGUGAAGCUUUUCUGGAUACAAGAGAUAUCGUGAAGAAUCAAAGGUCUGAUCAGGAAUAGCUACACGACGAUGUUACCUUCACCUAUCAAGGAUGCCGACUCCUCUUUCAUACUCCCAGACCAGACAUGUCAGCGUUUUACUCUUGCUGAGAUUGAAUCAGCAACCGAAAACUUCGACGAGGCUUUAGUCAUUGGCAGGGGAGGAUUCGGCAAGGUGUAUAAAUGUUCCAAAAUCGGGUCAAUGAGCGAUGUUGCAGUCAAACGGUUGCAUUCCAUGUCCAAUCAAGGAGCCCAUGAAUUUGAGUCGGAAGUCAAGGUCCUCUCUAAGCUGCGACAUGGUAAUCUUGUAUCCUUAAUUGGUUAUUGCAAUGAAGUAAAAGAGAUGGUGCUCGUUUAUGAGUUCAUGCCGAAUGGAACACUUGAAGAUCAUCUUCGCUCCCCUGAUUUAUCUUUAUCUUGGUUACAACUACUCAAGAUAUGUAUAGGGGCAGCUCGAGGAUUAGACUACCUUCACAUGGGUACAUCAACUCAACAUGGAGUCAUACACCGAGAUGUGAAGUCAUCCAAUAUUUUGUUGGAUGCGAACUUUGCUGCUAAAAUUUCAGAUUUCGGAUUGGCUAAAGUUGGGGUAAUUGAUCAGACACGAACUCAUAUGAGCACAGCUGUGAAAGGGACAUUUGGGUAUAUGGAUCUGUGCUAUUUCUAUACCGGAAAAUUGACGAUGAAAUCAGAUGUUUACGCUUUUGGUGUUGUACUAUUUGAGGUGUUGUCAGGGAAAAAAGCUGUAGAUUCAACUCUUGAUGAAGAGCACUGGGGUUUAGCAGCUUGGGCUCAACACCAAAUCAAAGAAGGAAAGAUCAAUCAAAUUAUUGAUCCGAGAUUGAUUGGACAAAUAUCCAAAAAAUGCUUGAAAGAGUAUGUAAGCAUAGCAGGCCACUGUUUACACACUCAACCGAAACACCGCCCUACCAUGGCAGAGGUUGUUUUCAAGAUCGAGUCUAUUCUUUCACAAGCAACAGAAAGCGCCAAUUCGGUUGUUGAUGAUGAUGGAUUCAUUUUCAAGCUAAGAUCUCUUUUCGUUGGGAAAGUAGCUGAUGUUAAUGCUCCAAUAGGAAAAGAUACCGAUGAAAGUUUUAGAACUUUCACAUAUGCUGAAUUGGUAAUUGCAACGAAUGGUUUCCAGGACAAGAAACAUUCCCCAACUAUAAAUGAAUCCAUUUACAAAGGUUGGGUUGAUGAAAAGACAUAUGCGCCAACAAAAUAUGGUGUUGGUUUAGCGAUGUAUGUUAGGAAAAUGGAGAUUCCAACACGAAAGGACAUCAAGCCAGAAGAUUUCAAUCAUCCGAACAUUGUAAAACUCUUGGGAUAUUGCUUGAAUUAUCAUGAACUAUUUUGUGUUUACAAGCUCAUAUCUGGCAUAACUUUGGAUAAAUAUCUUUACCAAGAGUCACGUAGAACUUCACUUUCGUGGGUUGCACGAUUAAAAAUAUCAAUAGGAACAGCUGAAGGCUUGUUGUAUAUACAUAAGAGGAACCAGCCAGCGUAUAGCCAAUUUAAGACCCAUCAUAUAUUAGUGGAUGAGGAUUUUAAUGCUAGGCUUACAGAUAUUGGUUUUGAUACUCACACCUUCCAGUUGGAUGCAUAUUAUUAUGCAGCCGUUCAUGACGAAUCAGAUACAUUUGAUGGUAUUCGCCGACACUGGCUGCGUGAAGAUGGUUUUGCAAUCAAGAGUGAAGUCUAUGCUUUUGGAGUGGUACUGUUGGAAAUACUAACAGGGAUGAAGGUGUAUGAUGGGAGGAGGCCCCUUGAAAAGCAAAAACUGGUGGAAUGGGCUAUUCCAUUGCUAACAGAUGAGGUUAAAUUGAGAAUGAUUAUGGACCCACAAUUUCAACAUAAUGAUUGUCCUCCAAAGGAAGCAUUCAAGUUUCGCUCAACUUAUUUUAAACUGUCUUCAACCAAAACAUGAGAAACACACAUCAAUGGAAUACAUCUUGAAGCUUUGGAGUCAAACAAAGACUUCUUUUUUUUAAGACCUUGCUGAUCAGAGACAGAAGAUGACAUGAACAGUGGCGCAUGAACAGUACAUCGGAACAGUAACCACGUGAACAGUGCAUUCGUGAACAGUUUUAUUUAUUUAUUUUUUUUUUUGGUCCCUGCUUCUGCCAAUCGCUUCUUUCUUCAUGGAACCACUCAAACCUUUCUCUACAACAGAAAAGACUGCACAUAACUCUCACAAAUUUGGUUUUACAUUAUCACCAACCAACUAUGGUUAUUGGAAAACCAUGAUUCAACCUUUCUUGACCACAAAUAAUCUGUUUGGGUAUGUUGAUGGCACCAUUCUAUGUCCACAAGCAACUACAACUUCUGAGACAGAAACUUCUUCUGCUGUUGCAAACCCUAGCUAUGCAAUCUGGAUAGCUAACGAUGCUCAUGUACGUAUGCUUUUACUAUCUACAAUUUUUGAAUCUUCCUUCCAGCAUGUACAGGGGACUACCUCCCGUGAACUUUGGCUGUCCCUUGAACGAGCCUAUGCACCACAUACUUUUUCCAGGGAGUAAACCCUCAAAACCCAACUUCUCAAACUAGAGAUGAAAGGUGAUGAGACCUCCUCUGCCUAUCCCAACAGAGCUCAAGGAUAUGCUGAUGCCUUAGCAAAUAUUGGUGAACCAAUGAAAGAAAAAGAUCUAGUUAUGCUUGUGAUCUCUGGUCUUAGGGAAGAAUACAAUGGUUUAAAAUCAACCAUCCUUGCUCGCCAAAUUCCCACAGCCUUCUCUGAAUUGAAUGGUCUUCUCUCAGAUCACGACUACAUGAUACGUAAAUCGGUGCCUGAAAUCUCACAUGUCCAAGCUUUCACGACUGCUACUACAAGCCAUAACACCACCACUGCACCCUCCUCAACAGUCGUUACAAAUCAGUUGCAAAACCUACAACAUUUGUUAUUACAACUUGGUUUACAACUUCAGCCAACAAAGAGUUCAUCUCCUCAAGCCUUUUACACAAACAGGGCUGGAAACAAUCGUGGUCGAGGGCAAUUCAAUCGACGUGGACGAGGAAACUACAACCGUACCCAAGGAGAUUUCAACAACACAAAUCAGGGUGGAGGUAACCGUGGUCAGUUUUCUUGGGCUUCUAAUCAAAACACUGUUUAUGGUACAUGUAACAGGUGUGGAAUAGGACAUGUUCCUUCUCAAUGUCCAAACCGUGACUCUGCUACUUUUUGAAGACCACCAGCAUCGGCUAACUAUGCAGAUCACCGCUCACAAGCAUCCACCUCCUGGCUAACUGACACAGGAUCCAGUCACCAUGUCACACAUGAUCUGCAUGGUCUCGACAGAACUGAGCCUUACUAUGGCAAAGAUAAUCUCCACGUUGGCAAUGGACUCAGCUACUCACAAUACCCUCCUCACGGGUCCAAGUAAUGGCGGACUUUACUCUAUUUGUCUACCUCAGUUCCAAUCUCUUCCAAAAGUUGCGUUUUCUACUGUUCGUGCUUCGUCCCAGAUUUGGCAUCAACGACUAGGACACCCACAUAUUCAACUUUUACAAUCUAUUUUAUCUAGAUACAAUUUACCUUUGUCAAAUAAAUGUUCUUCUUUUGUUUGUGACUCGUGCUUAGUUGGAAAAUCGUCUAAAUUACAUUUAUCACCGUCUUCUUACAAGAGUUCUCAUAUUUUAGAUCUUGUAUUUUGUGAUGUAUGGGGACCAGCACCU